UACCUUCGGUGCCCGAGUUGUAAUUUGGAGAGGGCAACUUUGGGGCCGUUCCUUGUCUAUGUUCCUUGGAACAGGACGUCAUAGAGGGUGAGAAUCCCGUGUGGCGAGGAGUGCGGUUCUUUGUAAAGUGCCUUCGAAGAGUCGAGUUGUUUGGGAAUGCAGCUCUAAGUGGGUGGUAAAUUCCAUCUAAAGCUAAAUAUUGGCGAGAGACCGAUAGCGAACAAGUACAGUGAUGGAAAGAUGAAAAGAACUUUGAAAAGAGAGUGAAAAAGUACGUGAAAUUGUUGAAAGGGAAGGGCAUUUGAUCAGACAUGGUGUUUUGUGCCCUCUGCUCCUUGUGGGUAGGGGAAUCUCGCAUUUCACUGGGCCAGCAUCAGUUUUGGUGGCAGGAUAAAUCCAUAGGAAUGUAGCUUGCCUCGGUAAGUAUUAUAGCCUGUGGGAAUACUGCCAGCUGGGACUGAGGACUGCGACGUAAGUCAAGGAUGCUGGCAUAAUGGUUAUAUGCCGCCCG
rnacentral:rRNA from 1 species